NNNNNNNNNNGGAUUCCCCUAGUAACUGCGAGUGAAGCGGGAAAAGCUCAAAUUUAAAAUCUGGCGGUCUUGACCGUCCGAGUUGUAUUCUGGAGAAGUGCUUUCCGCGCUGGACCGUGUAUAAGUCUCUUGGAACAGAGCGUCAUAGAGGGUGAGAAUCCCGUCUUUGACACGGACUACCAGUGCUUUGUGAUGCGCUCUCAAAGAGUCGAGUUGUUUGGGAAUGCAGCUCAAAAUGGGUGGUAAAUUCCAUCUAAAGCUAAAUAUUGGCGAGAGACCGAUAGCGAACAAGUACCGUGAGGGAAAGAUGAAAAGCACUUUGGAAAGAGAGUUAAACAGUACGUGAAAUUGUUGAAAGGGAAACGCUUGAAGUCAGUCGCGUCGUCCGGAACUCAGCCUUGCCUUUUCGCAUGGUGUAUUUUCCGGUUGACGGGCCAGCAUCGAUUUUGACCGUCGGACAAAGGCCAGCGGAAUGUGGCACCUUCGGGUGUGUUAUAGCCGCUGGUUGUAUACGGCGAUUGGGAUCGAGGACCGCAGCUUCGGCUUAGGAUGCUGGCGUAAUGGCUUUAAACGACCCGUCUUGAAACACGGACCAAGGAGUCUAACAUGCCUGCGAGUGUUUGGGUGGAAAACCCGAGCGCGUAAUGAAAGUGAAAGUUGAGACCUCUGUCGCGGAGGGCAUCGACGCCCGGACCUGAUCUUCGGUGACGGAUCUGCGGUAGAGCAUGUAUGUUGGGACCCGAAAGAUGGUGAACUAUGCCUGAAUAGGGUGAAGCCAGAGGAAACUCUGGUGGAGGCUCGUAGCGAUUCUGACGUGCAAAUCGAUCGUCAAAUUUGGGUAUAGGGGCGAAAGACUAAUCGAACCNNNNNNNNNNNNNNNNNNNNN
rnacentral:rRNA from 1 species